GCACAUAAAUAUAUAUAUGCCGCUGCGCGACACUGAAACGGCCACAUAGAAAUACACAGAAACACGCAGAUGCAUACACGGCCAUGUACAGAAGCGUGCUAUCGGCGCUCUUUUCUCCGUGUUGACGGUCAGGGAAGAUGAGUGAGCCCACAUGCAGCCCUGCAUAUAGGCGGGAACGCGAGAAGAAACAGCGUGCGGGGGUUUGGCUUGUGCACAGGUCCGGCAAUACAGGCUGGAGUGAGCUGAGCCGUAGGUGACAUCCGUCAUUAGGCAGAUCGGUAACGUGCGAGGCGCCUGUGCAGGUGCGCACAGGCGAGAUAGGGCGUGGGAGGGGGUGCUUCAGCGAGGGCGGGCAUGAGCACAUGAUGACUCGACAACACGAUCAUUUAACAGCAACAUCUGAUAGACAUCAAACCGUCUUGACGUGAACGCGUUUACAAUUUUUCUGACAGUAAAGCCCGCCCCUACCGCUGAAGCUCUCUCUCUCUCUCUGAUAUCUUCUGGCGUUGUGUGUGUGUGUGCGUUUUGCAGCAUUCAUCGUUGACUUGUACAGGACUAUCGUUCAUAACUCAGCACCAUCGACUCUCUUGCUGCGCCUGUCCUUGCAGCCCAUAACAAGGCGUAGAGACCUCUAUGGAGGUCAUGUGAUGUGCAGUCCUUCUUUCUUUUAGCGUUUGUUUUCCUGGGAAGGGCACACUCUCACAGCACGACGCCGUGAUCGCUUUUUCUGGCGUCCUUCCUCUCCGUGCACUCGUCUCUAUGUGUGUGCGUGUGUGCGCGUAUGUGUGCCUGUGCCUCUUAGCCAGCCUCGCCAUCAUGGCACCAUCCUGAUCCACCCUGCUCGGUUACAGAGUAACCGCCAUGGCAGCGGGUGCACUUUCACCGCCGCAUCCGAUGCUUACCUUGAGCAGGUGCGCCGCAACGCUACCAGCACCCGAUGACGGUUCUGAGGGAUGGAGCAGCGCCCGGUCUCGCGAGGCAUGGAGGCGGUGCUGGCGUGACGAAUAACACUACUGGUUGUGCUGCUAGACAAGACCGUGAUACAGAGAAUUCUUACGUUUCCCGCUGGAAAGUGUGCAAAUGCCUGAAAUACGCCGAGCAGUGGAGGCUCUUGUGGACAGCCUGUGUGUUAAUGCUUGUUCGCUGACUAGAACGUUGCAACGUCACAGCAAGUUGACAUGACGAAAGCCUCGCUUUCUCUGCGAUGAAUUCAGCUGCAGUGCCGCCGAUAUUUCGCCGUUCCUCCCCGCUGUGAUGCCAACACCAACAACGAACGAGAUUAACAG
rnacentral:misc_RNA from 1 species